UGAGGAAUAUUGGUCAAUGGACGAGAGUCUGAACCAGCCAAGUAGCGUGAAGGAUGACUGCCCUAUGGGUUGUAAACUUCUUUUAUACGGGAAUAAAGUGAGGUACGUGUGCCUUUUUGUAUGUACCGUAUGAAUAAGGAUCGGCUAACUCCGUGCCAGCAGCCGCGGUAAUACGGAGGAUCCAAGCGUUAUCCGGAUUUAUUGGGUUUAAAGGGUGCGUAGGCGGUUUGAUAAGUUAGAGGUGAAAUCCCGGGGCUUAACUCCGGAACUGCCUCUAAUACUGUUAGACUAGAGAGUAGUUGCGGUAGGCGGAAUGUAUGGUGUAGCGGUGAAAUGCUUAGAGAUCAUACAGAACACCGAUUGCGAAGGCAGCUUACCAAACUAUAUCUGACGUUGAGGCACGAAAGCGUGGGGAGCAAACAGGAUUAGAUACCCUGGUAGUCCACGCAGUAAACGAUGAUAACUCGUUGUCGGCGAUACACAGUCGGUGACUAAGCGAAAGCGAUAAGUUAUCCACCUGGGGAGUACGUUCGCAAGAAUGAAACUCAAAGGAAUUGACGGGGGCCCGCACAAGCGGAGGAACAUGUGGUUUAAUUCGAUGAUACGCGAGGAACCUUACCCGGGCUUGAAAGUUACUGACGAUUCUGGAAACAGGAUUUCCCUUCGGGGCAGGAAACUAGGUGCUGCAUGGUUGUCGUCAGCUCGUGCCGUGAGGUGUCGGGUUAAGUCCCAUAACGAGCGCAACCCCUACCGUUAGUUGCCAUCAGGUCAAGCUGGGCACUCUGGCGGGACUGCCGGUGUAAGCCGAGAGGAAGGUGGGGAUGACGUCAAAUCAGCACGGCCCUUACGUCCGGGGCUACACACGUGUUACAAUGGUAGGUACAGAGGGUCGCUACCCCGCGAGGGGAUGCCAAUCUCGAAAGCCUAUCUCAGUUCGGAUUGGAGGCUGAAACCCGCCUCCAUGAAGUUGGAUUCGCUAGUAAUCGCGCAUCAGCCAUGGCGCGGUGAAUACGUUCCC
rnacentral:rRNA from 2 species